UACGUAGGGCGCAAGCGUUUGUCCGGAAUUAUUGGGCGUAAAGAGCUCGUAGGCGGUUUGUCGCGUCUGCUGUGAAAACCUAAGGCUCAACCUUGGGCUUGCAGUGGGUACGGGCAGACUAGAGUGCGGUAGGGGUGACUGGAAUUCCUGGUGUAGCGGUGGAAUGCGCAGAUAUCAGGAGGAACACCGAUGGCGAAGGCAGGUCACUGGGCCGCAACUGACGCUGAGGAGCGAAAGCAUGGGGGAGCGAACAGG
rnacentral:rRNA from 1 species